ACCCAACCCAUGCCCACCACUAGCUGAUGGCACAAAUACAAUUAACCCUAUAUCACCCAAAAUCAAGUCUGGGUUUCCACCCUAAGCUCAGAUUGUAGAUGUUGUUGGCCACUUGUAACAAAACAUGGCCAAGGCAGAAACUCGCUAUCUCUAGGUAAUAUAAAUUGCAUAACGAUGAAAAUGAUUGAUCAGAAGCGUGAAAACUCAACAGAAACACGAAAUCUGGAAUUGCUAAUUGCUCGCGGGAACAUAUUUGAAUAAUUGUAGAUGACGAUCAACGUAUACCACCUUCAUCCACACCUAAAAUCAGUUUCAAAAAUUCAAAAGCUACUGCAAAAGUAACAAGUUACUCCAAAUUUAGACUUGUUAUUCUGGGAGUGAAAAAAUAUAGAGAUCAGCCAUACCUCCUCAUCCACGAACAACUGCAAUGCAAGAAUUGCACCUUUCAAC
rnacentral:lncRNA from 1 species